AUGUGGGAAGAGGGGGGAGAGUUGUUUUGUUUUUUGUUGUUGGGUUAUUUCAUUGAGCACAAAAGACAGUUUUAUAAAAACACUGUCUCAGUCCCCCCUCUACCCCUUACUACCUCAUUCCCCUGUCCGAGGAUGGUGAUAAGACCUCUCUGUGUUGCAGUAGACUACCCUUGGUUUAUUUUCUUGCGCUUCCAUUCAUUUACAGGCCAUUCAAAGUCGUCCCAGCCUGAAGGUAAAAGAUGGAGCUGCUCAUUGGAGUGUAAUGAGAUUUACCUUAGGUUCUCAGCCCUGUUUGUGAGCUGUGCCAGCAUCAGUGAAAGGAGAGAGAACUGGAGCCCUGGGCAGAGCCAAAAGGGAGAAACUGCAGAUGGAAACUUCUGUUCAGAGCUGGUUAAAGGCACCUCCAGCUGCACUAGUUUACGGCCAGCUUCAGAGGUAACUGCCUUGCUUUCCUGUAAUUUUCUACACAAGUAUCCCACAUGCACAGGAGAGUAGUAAAGAUUGAGCUGUUUGGG
rnacentral:lncRNA from 1 species